rnacentral:rRNA from 1 species
AACGAACGCUGGCGGCAGGCUUAACACAUGCAAGUCAAGCGCCCCGCACGGGGAGCGGCAGACGGGUGAGUAACGCGUGGGAACCUACUCAACUCUACGGAAUAACGCAUGGAAACGCGUGCUAAUACCGUAUACGUCCUUCGGGCGCAAGAUUUAUCGGAGAUGGAUGAGGCCGCGUUGGAUUAGCUAGUUGGUGGGGUAAAGGCCUACCAAGGCGACGAUCCAUAGCUGGUCUGAGAGGAUGAUCAGCCACACUGGGACUGAGACACGGCCCAGACUCCUACGGGAGGCAGCGGUGGGGAAUAUUGGACAAUGGGCGCAAGCCUGAUCCAGCCAUGCCGCGUGAGUGAUGAAGGCCCUAGGGUUGUAAAGCUCUUUCGCCGGUGAAGAUAAGGACGGUAACCGGAGAAGAAGCCCCGGCUAACUUCGUGCCAGCCGCCGCCGUAAUAC